UGGACAGAUUAUGGCAUUCGACUAUAUUCACGGCGUGGCAUAGGGGAUUACAUUGUUUUUAAAUGAAAAGUAAAUCAACUAACAUAAUAGACUCCU
rnacentral:pre_miRNA from 1 species